rnacentral:lncRNA from 1 species
CACGCCAGUCUCUGCGACUCCUUAGCACUGCUGCAGCAGAAAGUGGAAAUGUGGAAAGGCACGUCCUGGUCGCUCCUCAGGGAGCCCCUUAGCACCGCAGGGCCAAGGCCAGGCCAGCCUUGCAAGGGGGUUGUCCUGGAGGCACAGCCUACUUUCCCUGUCCCCAAGCUUCGAAAUGUCUUUAUUGGGGUAUAUUCCGGAAGGAGGGGUCCUCAGCAGGCAGGAGAGCUGAUGAGGGGCAGAAUGCACCCUUGCUCAGGCCCUCCCCUGAGCGCAGGCCGG